GCAAUCUGUGGACAGAAAGACACAGAGACACUUCAUUUGAACUUAUGGGAGCUUGUUGGUCAGUUUACAUAAGGAGUACGAGCACAGACAUAUCUGUUCCUACACACAAGGAAAGACACUCACCUUCAGUUGAGGUCAAACCCAUCAUGUUGUAGUUGAAGAAGUAGCUGGAAACACAUGAAAAACCACACUUUGAACCACUGACUUGUGUCUGUUUCUUCCCCUUUCCUUCCAGAUCAAAGUAUGUCCGUACUUUUGUUUGUCUGUCUGUGUGUGUGUGUGUGCGUGUGUCUCUCUCUCCCUCCUUCUCUGUCUCUCUCCCUCCCUCCCUCUCAGUGGUUUCCUGGAAAACGAAACUACGACUUUCAAAAACAUGGGGGGAUCAAAAAGUGAUUAAACUGUUUGGACGGAAACUCCUUACAUGCUAAAGCAGAUCAAAGUGUCCGUACUUUUGUUUGCUUCCAAUUCCCCGCCCUGCACUUAAAGGACUUCCUGUAAAACAAAACUUUGCCUUUACAAAACAUCAAAACAUUUACAUCGUUUGGAUCCAUACUCACUUGCAUCGACGUUUUGUGGACGGAAAGAUCUAUAAUGGUUUAACUAUCACAUUUGUCACAUAGUUAUUCGUGCUCUCACUCUCUGAGCUUGUGAUGCGUGAUUGUGAGCGCCUGAUAGUCCGGUCGAUAUUUUGCUGUUAAUGUGUAUUAUAAAUGUUGUGCUAUGUAAGGUUCGGGGUGUCAGUGCACAUUAAAGGGGUUUGUGUCAUUUUGAGUAAAUUGCACUACACGCCGACAUGAAGCUCACGGAGCCAACGAGGAAGCACGGCUUCAGGAUACUGCCGCACUUCCCGUGCUCGGUGGAGGCCUGCAGCCUGGCGGUGGGGGAGAUGGUGGUGUUUGUUGGCAGCGUGGAAGACGCAGACCGUGUCAUGGAGAACGGGAUCGAGGUCAACAACCACUUCUUUCCCGUUCUGCCGCUCACCAAACCGGCUGUUGAGAUCACAGUCAGAGCCGACGUGUUAACCAGAGAACUAUCUCGGUACUGUAAGGUAGUCUCUCGGGUUACUAAGGUGUCCCCUGGAUGCAAGUCUCUCCUGUUGAGACAAGUGGUGGGAUAUUUAUAUGUCUUGCACUGAGGAGAGGCUUCUGUCAGGCCACUCUGCCAUAAAGCCGACUGGUGGAGGGCUGCAGUGAUAGUUGACUUUGUGGAACUAGGAAAAGUUCUGGUCCAAACUUCUUUCAUUUAAGGAUUAUGGAGGCCACUGUGCUCUUAGGAACCUUCAGUGGUGCAUACAUUAUUUUGUAACUUUGGCCAAUUCUGUCUCUGACCUCCUUGGGCUCCUUUGACCUCACGAUUCUCAUUUGCUCUGACAAGCACUGUGAGCUGUAAGGUCUUAUAUAGACAGGUGUGCCUUUCCUAAUCAAGUCCAAUUGGUUUAAUUAAACACAGCAGGACUCCAGUGAAGGCGUAGAACCAUCUCAAGGAGGUUCAGAAGAAAUGGACAGCAUGUGAGUUAAAUACGAGCGUCACAGCAAAGGGUCUAAAUACUUAUGACCUUGUGAUAUUUCAGUUUUUUCUUUUUUAAUAAAUUAGCAAAAAUGUCUA